GGGGAAUUUUGGACAAUGGGGGCAACCCUGAUCCAGCCAUGCCGCGUGAGUGAAGAAGGCCUUCGGGUUGUAAAGCUCUUUCGGACGGAAAGAAAUCGCCGCCUCUAACAUAGGCGGUGGAUGACGAUACCGUAAGAAGAAGCACCGGCUAACUACGUGCCAGCAGCCGCGGUAAUACGUAGGGUGCGAGCGUUAAUCGGAAUUACUGGGCGUAAAGCGUGCGCAGGUGGUUUCUUAAGUCUGAUGUGAAAGCCCACGGCUUAACCGUGGAGGGUCAUUGGAAACUGGGAGACUUGAGUGCAGAAGAGGAAAGUGGAAUUCCAAGUGUAGCGGUGAAAUGCGUAGAGAUUUGGAGGAACACCAGUGGCGAAGGCGACUUUCUGGUCUGCAACUGACGCUGAGGCGCGAAAGCAUGGGGAGCAAACA
rnacentral:rRNA from 1 species